GAUGAACGCUGGCGGCGUGCUUAACACAUGCAAGUCGAACGAAGCACUUUAUUUGAUUUCCUUCGGGACUUAUUAUUUUGUGACUGAGUGGCGGACGGGUGAGUAACUCGUGGUUAACCUGCCUUGUACAGGGGGAUAACAGUUGGAAACGGCUGCUAAUACCGCAUAAGCGCACAGCAUCGCAUGAUGCAGUGUGAAAAACUCCGGUGGUAUAAGAUGGACCCGCGUUGGAUUAGCUAGUUGGUGAGGUAACGGCCCACCAAGGCGACGAUCCAUAGCCGACCAGAGAGGGUGACCGGCGACAUUGGCACUGAGACACGGCCCAAACUCCUACGGGAGGGAGCAGAGGGUAAUAUUGCACAAUGGGCGAAAGCCUGAUGCAGCGACGCCGCGUGAGCGAAGAAGUAUUUCGGGAUGUAAAGCUCUAUCAGCAGGGAAGAUAAUGACGGUACCUGACGAAGAAGCACCGGCUAAAUACGUG
rnacentral:rRNA from 1 species